rnacentral:rRNA from 1 species
GCUUACGGUCAUAUCACGUUGAAAGCAACGGUUCUCAUCUGAUCACUGAAGUUAAGCAAUGUUGAGCCUAGUUAGUACUUAGAUGGACGACCACUUGGGAAACCUAGGUGCUGUAAGCA